rnacentral:rRNA from 1 species
UACGGAGGGAGCUAGCGUUGUUCGGAAUUACUGGGCGUAAAGCGCACGUAGGCGGCUUUGUAAGUUAGAGGUGAAAGCCCGGGGCUCAACCCCGGAAUUGCCCUUAAGACUGCAUCGCUUGAAUCCGGGAGGGGUGAGUGGAAUUCCGAGUGUAGAGGUGAAAUUCGUAGAUAUUCGGAGGAACACCAGUGGCGAAGGCGGCUCACUGGUCCAUUACUGACGCUGAGGUGCGAAAGCGUGGGGAGCAAACAGG